UUCAUCAUGCUUAAAGUUGUAGAAAAGAGGAAGCGUGUUGUGCUUACACUUAAGCAGCUGAUCAGAUCAGCUGCUGAUUAAGAUCAGCUGAUCUUUGUUAUGGAGAAGAAUGGCACAGAAAUAAUUGGAGGCAAUCAGCUGACGCCUCACCUCCUGCACGUUGUUGAAGAAGCCGGCCCGCAGCACCCCGAUCUUGCUUUGUUUGACUCUCAGCGUGCCGCGUGUUCGGUCCCGCAGGAAGUUGGGGGGCAG